GGGGCAGCUGAACAGAGACAGAGCCAAGUGAUCUCCCGCAGCACCUGCCCUCUCCUGAGCUAUGCCUCUGGCCUUCCCGCCUCCUCCUCCACACGGACCUCCGCGCCCCCUGAAGAAGGGGGGAAAAAGAAAUACGCAUUAAUACCUCGAGCCUUGGCGCACCAGCCCUCGCCCCCUCAACCACCUGUCUCUGCGUUCUCCCCCGCAGCCUUCCUCAACUCUGGGCGCCCCCUCUGCAGCAAAGGGGCACCACGCCCACUGCGGAGAGGAGAAAUGCAAGUGAGAAGAUGGCCAACUGCAAACCAGGAAGCAGACCUUCUCCAGACACAGAUCUGCUGAUGCCUUGAUCUUAGACUACCUUGCCUCCAGAAUGGUGAGAAAUAAAUGUUGUUUAAGCCACUCAGUCUGUGGUAUUCUGUUGUAGCAGCUUGGACUAAGACAA
rnacentral:lncRNA from 10 species